CUGAGCUAAAUCCCCAGCCCCAAAGGACAUCUUUGAGCUGUUUCCUUAGAAAACAUUCCUAUCCACACACUCUGGGAGGAAAGUGGCCAGGGCCCUGGAGCUACUACAGAGCCAUCGCAGACCUCUGAGCUCUGCCACUUUUUUGGCGGGGGGUGAUGUGACCAUUUCUCUUUCAUCUCUGAAGUCCUUCAGAAUCUUUAUCUCUGGAUGAAAGGUCUGUUAUGGCUGUGUCCAGAUGUUCCCCCGAAGCCUCAUGGACUCAUAGGUGGGGCUUUUCGGAGGGGGCUGGAUCUGGAGUGUGUGAUGCUAGGAUCAAGGGGGUGUGAUUGCUAAAUUGGUCCACUGGCUGGCUUGGCAUAGUUCUGGGAAGGAUUAAGGGCGCCCUGCUCUGGGUGUGAGUGCUACCUGUCCUGAGGGUGUGUAGCCUGGAUAAGAUAUGAGGGAUAGAAAGACGGUCACUGGGGGCUUGUUGCUCCUCAUUUGUAGCUUGCUGCCUUCUGCCCGCCAUGAACUGUUUCUCCUCUGCGAUGCCCCUCUACCAAGAGGCCCCGCGUUGGAGCCAGUUGAUGAUGGACUGAAACGUCUACAAACUGUGAGCUGGAUAAACCUUUCCUCCCCUAACAUGUGGGUGUUGGGUAUUUCCUCUCAGCAGUGAGAAAGUGGCUAAGACAGUCUUUCAGAGAGACGGAGAAAAGAAACCCUGGAGAUUGGGCUUAAGCCCCUGGGCCAAGCCAUUGCUGAACCUAGGAAUCUUUUGAUUUUCCCAUUGUCCCUGGAUUCUUUUUCCUGCUCUGAACUUCCCGUCUCACCUGGCUGCUGAAACCACGGGCGAGGAGUUCUUCGGGGGCUCCCCUGGCAGGAGGGGAGUAGCUUCGAGGAGACAUCAGAAGUACGUUUGUGAGCGGGUCACAGUGGUCUAGAAAAUCAUUCCCAACUCGUGGAACAAGUCCUGCCCACUCCCAGCCUUUAGGGGCUGCAAGUUCAGUUUGCGGGCAGCGUCCAGGGGGCGGAGCAGGGAGCAGGUGAGCCAACGAGAGCACAGGGCUGGGGACAGGGACUCAGUCAUUCUGUGCUUGUAAUGGUGACCACUGAUUUCCUUCCCAGAGAGACUCCACUGACCUCCACCUCCAGCCUCCGUGAACCGCCAGUGAUGCUUUGGCAGCACGGUCAGGACAAAUUAGUUACGCAGAGGGGGGAAAUCUCGCCCGCAAGUCAGUGUGCGGGUUUGGGCUGGGGUGGGAGUAGCAGAUGGCUUCCCUGUGGACCUGGGCAGCCACGGACCUUGGAAGCAGACACUGGCUGCUGGCUCAGGGCAGAAGGAGACCAUCCCGGAAGCAAUGAGCUAAGCUGGUUCAAGCCCUGGGGCUUGUGGCUUAAUAGUUGCAAACUGGACGUUCCUCAAGGACACGAUCUGGAGGCUGCAGCUUGCCACAGUGGCUGAGGUGAUUUUGUCCUGGUAGGGCCAGCCGAUUCCAGCCUAGGGGACAGGAUCCCGUCUCUCACAGGGACCCUGACCGCCUUGCUCACUGCCCAGACCCGCUCAGUUCUCCCGGGACCGGGCGGGCUCACACACCCGGUGCUUGUGCAGGUGGCCAGACCUCUCUUUCAGCCGUGCCCUCGGUGCUGUGUUUCUCUGAAUGAGUCAUCGCUUCCUAACCUUCAUGCCUGGCCAGGGUCUAGCUCUGCCUGGGGCACACUCCUAUCCCCCACCACUCCCUCCACCUGGUCUAUGGUUUUCUGCUCCCCGGGAAGCUUCCUGGGCCCCCAGCUUCUGUUCUGCACUCUCACAAGCCCGUGGUUAUUCCUGCCGAGGUCCCAGCACCCAGUGUGUGCCCACCUCCCAGGCCAGGACAGGAUUUGGCUUACAGGUCGUGGUCGGUGAGGUGCUCUGUGCAGGCACAGGGGCCCCUGGAAGUGUAGGAGUGAAAUGCAGGACCUAAGCCCAGCAAGUUCCCCGUCCAAAGCAGGGAGAGCACGGGGGCUCCUGAGGUUCCUGCUUCCGGCAUCUCUUUGCUGUAACUAUAGAGAAUAAUCUAUUCCACACUCUAAGCCCAUGUGAUUGGGGGAGGGAAGUCAUGUGACACCAGGUGACCAAUCACAGCGCUCCAUUGCUCUAGCUGGCUGACCAGCUGGGUGGGGUGGACACAUGACCGACGCUGUCCAACAUGGCUUUCACUGUGGGGAAAGAUGUCCUUCCACUGGACGGCAAACAGUGGCAUAGUGGCCUGGAGUGACAGGGGCCAUCUUUGCAAACACAGAGGGAAGCAGAGCAGAGGAAUGGAGUAAGGCAGAGUUGGGAGACACUGCAUGAGCUCCUGGAGCCGGACAUUUCUGCGCUCACGUAAGAGAAGAGCCUCUUGUGCUGAAGCAAGUCCCAGCUCCCCGUCAUCCACAGCCAAUGAAAAAGAACAGAACAGAGGAACUUCUGCUUUCAGCUCUGACAUACAACUUAGAAGUCAUUGCUUGUGCCCUUAAAACAAGAAAUGGCUGAACACACUAAAAAUCAACAACUUUUCUUUGACCCAUCAGAGAACUAAAACCCACAGGAAGAGUCAGGCAUCUGCAGCACAAAGAGAGAGCUCAUCC